rnacentral:rRNA from 1 species
UACCAGCACCCCGAGUGGUCGGGACGAUUAUUGGGCCUAAAGCAUCCGUAGCCGGUUCUACAAGUCUUCCGUUAAAUCCACCUGCUUAACAGAUGGGCUGCGGAGGAUACUAUAGAGCUAGGAGGCGGGAGAGGCAAGCGGUACUUAGUGGGUAGGGGUAAAAUCCGUUGAUCCAUUGAAGACCACCAGUGGCGAAGGCGGCUUGCCAGAACGCACUCGACGUGAGGGAUGAAAGCUGGGGGAGCAAACCGG